GCCACAGUCAUGUCACCCUGCAGCCCGAGAGCGGUUACUCACUCAAGCUGAGCAGGGCUGAGUGGGGUCAGUGUCUGGAUUGGAGACCAUAUGGGAACACUAGGCUGCUGUUAGCA
rnacentral:rRNA from 1 species